GUUUAAUGCAGAUUCUGCAGAACAUAUACAGGCUAAAUAAAAAACAAUCACUUUAUAAUGUGUCCCCUGCUGUAUAGUCCAAAACCACCGCACGAUGUCUCUGUGCAACAAAUACUGGCGAGAUAGCACCGUGUUGAAAAGUCCAAACAGUGUCUGUGAGUUAAAAUGGCCGCCAUCCAUUGUUCUCACCAUGUGCUUCUGAUACAGGAAAUGGUGGCCACCCAGUAACUCCACAGUAUGUCCCC